CGCUGAGAAGCUAUGAAACAGCGCUAGCCUUUUAAGCUAGAGAUAGAGGGUGUCUUCCCUCCCCAGUGA
rnacentral:tRNA from 1 species